GAUGAACGCUGGCGGCGUGCCUAAUACAUGCCAGUCGAGCGAACAGACGAGGAGCUUGCUCCUCUGACGUUAGCGGCGGACGGGUGAGUAACACGUGGGUAACCUACCUAUAAGACUGGGAUAACUUCGGGAAACCGGAGCUAAUACCGGAUAAUAUAUUGAACCGCAUGGUUCAAUAGUGAAAGACGGUUUUGCUGUCACUUAUAGAUGGAUCCGCGCCGCAUUAGCUAGUUGGUAAGGUAACGGCUUACCAAGGCAACGAUGCGUAGCCGACCUGAGAGGGUGAUCGGCCACACUGGAACUGAGACACGGUCCAGACUCCUACGGGAGGCAGCAGUAGGGAAUCUUCCGCAAUGGGCGAAAGCCUGACGGAGCAACGCCGCGUGAGUGAUGAAGGUCUUCGGAUCGUAAAACUCUGUUAUUAGGGAAGAACAAAUGUGUAAGUAACUAUGCACGUCUUGACGGUACCUAAUCAGAAAGCCACGGCUAACUACGUG
rnacentral:rRNA from 1 species